GAGCGAACGCUGGCGGCAGGCCUACCACAUGCAAGUCGAACGAACCUUUCGGGGUUCGUGGCGGACGGGUGAGUAACACGUGGGAACGUGCCUUUAGGUUCGGAAUAACUCAGGGAAACUUGUGCUAAUACCGAAUGUGCCCUUCGGGGGAAAGAUUAAUCGCCUUUAGAGCGGCCCGCGUCUGAUUAGCUAGUUGGUUGAGGUAAUGGCUCACCAAGGCGACGAUCAGUAGCUGGUCUGAGAGGAUGAUCAGCCACAUUGGGACUGAGACACGGCCCAAACUCCUACGGGAGGCAGCAGUGGGGAAUCUUGCGCAAUGGGCGAAAGCCUGACGCAGCCAUGCCGCGUGAAUGAUGAAGGUCUUAGGAUUGUAAAAUUCUUUCACCGGGGACGAUAAUGACGGUACCCGGAGAAGAAGCCCCGGCUAACUUCGUG
rnacentral:rRNA from 1 species